GAUGAACGCUGGCGGCGUGCCUAAUACAUGCAAGUCGAGCGAACAGAUGAGGAGCUUGCUCCUCUGACGUUAGCGGCGGACGGGUGAGUAACACGUGGAUAACCUACCUAUAAGACUGGGAUAACUUCGGGAAACCGGAGCUAAUACCGGAUAAUAUAUUGAACCGCAUUGUUCAAUAGUGAAAGACGGUUUUGCUGUCACUUAUAGAUGGAUCCGCGCCGCAUUAGCUAGUUGGUAAGGUAACGGCUUACCAAGGCAACGAUGCGUAGCCGACCUGAGAGGGUGAUCGGCCACACUGGAACUGAGACACGGUCCAGACUCCUACGGGAGGCAGCAGUGGGGAAUAUUGGACAAUGGGCGAAAGCCUGAUCCAGCCAUGCCGCGUGUGUGAAGAAGGUCUUCGGAUUGUAAAGCACUUUAAGUUGGGAGGAAGGGCAGUAAGUUAAUACCUUGCUGUUUUGACGUUACCAACAGAAUAAGCACCGGCUAACUUCGUG
rnacentral:rRNA from 1 species